UCAAAAAUCGAAGUAACAAAUUUAAAUAUUCAUUCAUUCAAACAUUUGCUUAUAAUUGCGAGUAAUCGAUUUUAGAAAUGUUUAUGAUAUAUAUGAUUGGCAAAUGAUCACCAUCGAUCAAUCGAUAAAAAUAAAAAGAAUCCAUUUAGAUUUAAUCAUCUGCAUAAGUUUAUCUUGGUAAGUUUAUGAUUUUAUUAAAGACAAACAUAUUUUUUUCAGAAAAUGAAUAUUUGCUAUAUAUCUGGUAAAUCAGAGACAGUCCAUCGAUAUAUUUUACGAUCUACCAACCUAUACCAAUCUUCUUGAGACUCGAAUAUCGUCUACACGGAUAUAUGGAAAUCAGAAUUCGGAUUAGCAAAUAAGGUGAAAAGAAAUGGGUGGAAGGAACCAGUUUUUAAACGUCUUUGGCCGGGUUCCUCUUCUUCGUUUCUUCUUCCAUUCUCUUUCGUACUUGUCUUGUCUUCUAUUCCUCUCCUCGUCUUUUCUCAGUCUGUCUUUGCAAUCGGUAAAGAGAAUUUACUGCAGUUUGGACUUUGUUCCCAGGUUUGACAUUAGGUCUGCUAUUAAGUUAUCAGUACCUUUCAAUUUGUUUUAAAUCUUUUGAAUAACCCGCGAAGUGAUAGAAAUUUGUUGAAUUUGAAUAAAUUCUGAUACAAUAAAUUCUUGAAAUAAUAAUUAUUGAUCACGAGUGAUAUUAUAUCAACUGCAGGAAAAUCUUGUCUACAUUUUAUAAUCAUGUAAAAUUUAAAAAUUAUUAAAAAUUAGAUAUAAAUUUAUGAAAUUUUAAGACAUUUUUAUUCUUUUUACUCAUUACAAUUUUUAAUACAUAAAAUUUUUAAUAUACAGUUUGAAAGAAUAACGAAUUUUAAGAUAUUUCAUCGUUUUCUUAGUGGAGCCCUUCUUAGCACAGUAUCCUUCCAUCGAAUGUUCGACCACAUUUCCAUGGUCGUUUUGCAAUCCGUUACAAAGGCCGGCUUGUUAGAUGCCGUGGUAUAUACGACAUGCACGAUUUUACACUCUGGCGCUUGUGGUCGGUCAGGCCGCAAACAUUUUUCGCGCCUCACAGAGAGAAGCAACUCUUCGCGACACGAUUGAUCAUCUUCUGAAGAACACACCAAAUCAUGUAGAAAAACUUUCUACAAACAGGUGCAGGUGACGAAAGCUACAUAAAACACUUUCAAUAUAUGCUGGGUAUCUUGCAAUGGAUUAUAUGAUUCAAAAGAAUAUAUUGAAAAAUUUUUUAGCAACCGAGAUGUAUGAUCUAUGUAUAACCGAAAUCAAUGCAAAAAUAGAAAAGAAGCGCAUAAUAAUGGAAUUCUUAUCAACUGCAUUACUAUUUCCGAGACUUCGAAUGAAAGCUCAGUCGAUGAAUAAUACAUGGUAUGCAUUGUCAUGGACCGAACUGUCUUCGAUGAAAUCAUCUUGUCUAAGAAAUUGCUUAAUUUAAUAUUGCAAAAUAAUAUUGAAUUUACUAUUUUUAUCUCAUAUAUAUAUAUAUAUAUCCUACAUACUAUAUUCAGUAAUUUUUAAUUCUAUGUAAUUCAUUUAAAAAAAAUUAAUGAAUCAUUUUUUUAUUUCAAAAUAUCUAUAAUAUUUUUUUAAAUCUUAUGGAAAAUUUUAAAAAUUCCACAAGAUAAUAUUUUCAUUUUUAAAAAUCAAAUCAUGGUCAUUUUUCAAGGGAGGAUGGGGGUUGUUCUGGAUCUAUCGAGCAACAGAUUUAGCAGAACGCUUAAUGAAUAGUUGAUAAUAGUAUGCAUUGUAGCCUGCAUGUCCGAGGGUUGGGUCAUCUAACAAAUGGCCCAUUGUUAUCUCUUACAACUCUUUGGUUUUCCUCUUACUCCUUCUCUUCUUCGCUUUUUUCCCUUCAUCCUUCUUUCACCGUGCACGAAACGGGCAUACAUAUAGGAUAAUUCAGAAAAGAGAAACGAUUUUCUUGCGCGCAGAAUUAUUAUUAUUCUCUUUAAUAGAUUGAAAAAUACACAGUUUGGUAACUAUCCACUAUCCAAAUUCUUACUACUUUUUAUCCCAAAAAGAAAAAAUAAACAUCUUUUUGGUUUUUUCUUUAUUUUUAUUCAAAUAAUGAAAAAAUAUAUAAAAUUAUUUAUAUAUUUAAGUAAUUAAUUAAGUAAUUAAGUAAAUUAAAGUUAAAAAGAUAAUUUUUAUGAAGGAAAGACGAAAAAAUAAUUAAUUUUAUGGCUAUUAUUUUCAAGCAAUCAAUUUUUAAAUACUAGAAUAUGCGUCUAAUAAUCGGACAAAAUUAGAGGAUAUUCGAUAAAUGAUAACAUGAGAGAAUCGCGCAUUCAAUAUAUUAUUGGCAUGCUGAGAAGAAAAGGCCGUUUCAUUCGAUACACAACAUACAAUUGAUCUGAACGUAUACAUAUUAUACACGGCUCACGAAUGGAGGAGUGAGUCUCGAGGGGAGCAACCGGUGCCGGUUUAUUCCCGAUCGAAUGUUUUUGUCCAACCAUCGCAAACCUAAUUGGAUUCGCUACAAACCACCAACAGUCGUAUACGGUAAAGCAUUACGCAAAACUAUAUACCGUCAGCAUAAAUGCCGAUUCACUGACCAUCAAUUCGUUUUGAGUUGCAUUAAUAAAAAAGCUCCUAUAUCGUACUUGUAAAAAUCGAAUUAGUUGUUUAAUUACAUUUAUUGAUGAAUAGAUAUUAAAACCUAUUCUUACAUAUCUUAUAGAAACAACGAUAAGGAAAAAAGUAAAAAAAAUUAUAAAAUAGAAGUAAAAAAAAUUAUGUAUUUAUUAGAUUAUUCUUUUUUCAAUGAGAAUGUAAUUUUUUUGCAAUAUGCAUUAAAAUAUAUUUCAUAUUAUUCGUGAUAAAGUAAUUUAUUUUUAUUUCCAAUAUAUAAUAUCUAUUUAUUGUUGUAAUUUUUUGUAAUUUAUCUUGUAAUUUGCAAAAUAUUGCACAUCCGAUCAGAAUGUGCAACUUGUAUAUACGAUCCCUUACUUUCAUAUACAUCGACCUUAUCUCUUUUUCUUCCGUAGGACACAACGAACACGACCUCGGUUUCUACAUGGAUACAUAACUCUUCACAGGCAGUCAGGCGCUAAUGUCGAUGCAUGUAACUGGCAGCAACCAGAUUGUGCUACAUUUCUGCAUCAUCGUCUACCUUCUCUUUUUGUCAUUUUUUAUCGCUUUUCUCACUAGUAAACAACGAUAGAGAGAUGUAUCUACGAAAUGGGGCAAUUCCAAAACAACCAGGAAAGCAACCUAUCGAUAUAAGAUGGAUUCUAAACAAAAAGAUAGAAGAGUUGUAUAAAAGAAAAAGAUAGAAAAGGGAUAAAUAUACGUUGGAAAGAGAUGGAAAAAGGAAAUGUUGGCGAAAAAGAAAAAUUAAAUUAAAAAGAAUAAAAAAAGAAAGAACUUUCAAGAGAUCAAGUUAGAGUACCGGCACAAAAAACCUGUCCCGCAUAAUUACAUUAUCGGUCACAUCUCGUUCGACUUCUGUCCGCAUAGCCCUUCAUUGGACAACCGAAUGCAUUCUCAUACAAUAGAGGCCACAGUUGCCUGGAGAACGAUGCAAUAAGAUCUCUGACGAAACUACAGGGGGUCUCAAUCAUGGUUUCUUUAUCCAAUUUUUUCCGAUUCUUAGUAGAAUCGGAAUCAAAUAUUCUAAUAAUAUUUUAACAAAUUCAAUAAAAAUUUUCUGAGAUCAUUA